CGCCCUUUUCCCCUUUUGGUGUUAAUUUGGGAGGAUUUGGGGUUUUUUGGGAUCUCUUGGUGGUGUUUUUUGGAGUUAUUGCAGGGUUAACGCUACCUCGGAGGAAGAAGAUAGAGGAGCUUUCCUCAAACGACCACCGGACAGCAGA